UCAGAGAACACAAUAUUCUCUCCGUUCUUUAUAUAUAUUUCACACAGGCCCUCCUCAUCAGAGAGUAACAACAAUACCCAUACACUGACCUCACCGUCACACACCCAUAUACACUACACACUCUUAAUUCCACCGGGAUACACGCAGAAAUGGAUAGAUAAGAGAUGACGUGAGAAAGAGAGAGCUGCGAGAGAGUGAGAGAGAUCUGCGAGAGAGUGACAGAGAUUUGCAACGGAGGGAGAGAUUCGCGAUUGAAAUCGAAAGAGAAUGAUGGUGAAGUAGUUUCCGGCGAGUGAGAGCUUGAGGAACACGAGUUUGGUGGUUUGAUUACUGUUCUGGCGACAGGCUCACCGGAAUCGCGUCUAGCUAUCAUAAAUUCGUUCAAAACCCAUCGAAUACGUCUCAACUGAUAGCUCUUUGUCGUUUUGGUCAUAGCCGAAGUUUACCGGGGUUACACCUACACAAAAUCAUCAAAAAAACCUCGAUCUACUUUUGAUUCCGUCCAAACCCAUUGGAAUCGGGCUGAAUUUCUCUUAUUUCUCACGAUUUUUAGUUUGAGGUUGUGUGUGUUCGUGAGAAUCUGGUCCAGGUCUCUUUGUUUCUAUGAUUCUCAGUUCCGAGUUGGAUGAGUUUGUUUGUUUGAGGUUCGUUUGUUUGAGGUUCGAUUCAAGGUUUCCGGGCGCGGAUUCUCUUUAUUCAAAUAACAGAGUUUGAAAGCUACGAAUCGAGGUCCAAUUCUAUUAUCUCUCUUUUUAUUUCAUUAUUUACUGUAUUUUGGUGUGUUGGAUUAAAUAUUGUGUGUUUUGUUUUAUCCUUGUUGGUGAUGAACGGAUUUUUAUUUUGAUUCGCGGUUGGUUUCUUUGAUUAUGAUUUGUAUGGUGAAAUAAAAUCUCAUUUGAGAAUUAAAAUUGGUUUUUUGGGGCGGAAUUAAAAUUGAUAAAAGUGAAUACGCAUUUGUUUUAAUUCAUUAUUAGCGGUUUAAUUUGGAAUAACCAUGAAUUUUGUUGAAACAGAUAGGCAAAUGUAGGUUUGGGUAGGCAAAUUUAGAACUUUUUUCUGGUUGAAUGUUUGAAUGUGCGUGGGCUGUACUUGAUUCUAAUGUAUUCAUUUGGUCGGGGAAUGCCCUGAGAGAUUUGUAUUGAUUUAUCCGGAGAAUGCUCCGAAGUAUCAUGUACGCAGAGGAGGCUCGUGAUCAAGGCCCGAGGCAUCGAGUAAGGCAUUGGAACGCAGUUUUAGGAUUAGCUUAAAAUAGGAUUUAUAUUUUAGUAUUUUUCUAAUUAGGACUGUAUAAUUGACUGGACACUAAAUUUUGAAUUGUUUCGUUUUGUUUGCUUGAUUGAUUGUCUUACAUGCUUUGUGUGGUUUAUACAUUUAUAAUGUCAAAUUAACCGAUACGAUCUACCAAGCGACCGUGGUCGAACAACGGGAUCAAGGGGUGCCUAAUACCUUCCCCUCGGUCAACAGAAUUCCUUAGCCGAAAUCUCUAUUCACAAACCAGUUUAAAGAGUCAAAUUGUGUUGAAAGGGAUUUCCAAAGGUGACUUUGUACACCCGAUUUAUGCCAAGUGGCGACUCUGAGUUUUGAUUAUAAGAAGUCCUUUCGGAACAAAUCUUCAUUUUGUCACUUUAAUAAUAAAAACUCUUUCGAACUAAAAUCAAAUCUUAUGAAGUUGUAAAAAAAAAAGGUGUAACAGCUCCGGCGACUCUACUGGGGACUCUUCAGAAUUUGAGUUAUUUUUGGAGUUGUAUCAGCUUAGUUUGGCACUAUAGGUGUAUAGACAUUUUGUUUGAGUUGUUUUGUGUUAUUGUUUAUCAUUGUUGAUAGCCUACGUGCUUUUUGUUUACAAUUUUUAUCAUGUGUUACUGCUUUAUAUCUGGCAUCAUGUGCAUAACCCGAGUCAUUUAUUCUACAACAAGUCCUGGAGUGCGCGUCGUGCACACAAACUCUAGUUGAGUCACCCUUAUUUUAGGAGGGGAAACUGUCGGACGUAUGGAGUGAGUGGAAAGCAAAGCAGCCACUAUCGACCAUAUUCUCCACCGAAUAGCCUUGUUAGUAAACCCUAAUGUAGGUCAGCCUUUAGGUCAUGCUUAUCUACAUUAUAUUGAGACUUAGUGGGACCCACUUGGCCUUUUGUAGGAGACUCACCUCUAAAGCAUCUCUAUGUGCUAAAUGUUGCAACUUUGAGGGUAACUUGAUCAUUUGAUGGACUCAUUCGGAGAAAACAUUUGUUAGAAGUAAGAUGCGUUUUAAAAAAAGGAAGAAAAAAGUGAGUCGAAAAGUAAAAAAAUGAGUUUCGUAGUUUUUAGAAUUCUUUAUGGCUUUUGUUUUUCACAAUCCAAAAUUUCAAAAAUAUUUUUUUUUACCUUUUGCACUCAUUUUGUCAAAGACAAAAAUAUCAAAAAGAUUUUUCUUUGUUUCUUUAAUAAGCUUUCAUAAUUUGAAAAUUUCAAAAAAAGAUUUCUUUUAAUAGGAGCUUUUUAUAAAAUUCAAAAAAUAUGGUAGAAGUUUUGUACAUUUCAUAUAACAAAAAUAACAAAAAGAUUUUCUUUCAUAGCUGUUGGUGUCAUUUUUUAUGUGAAGUGUCAAAUUGAAAACUCAAAAAAAGAUUGUUUUGUUGUUCAUCGUAUGUCUUUGGUCAUGUCUCAAGUCAGGGUGCAAUCUGUGAUUUAAUCAUUAAUUGUCCAAUCUGGACGAACUAAGCACCCCUGAUUCUCCUUUCUCGGGAUUGAGAUACGUAGGCACCCUAUUGUGGUUUCGGGGAUCUUAUUUCAAAAAUCCAAAAAAAAAAAUUCUUCACUUUUCAUUUAGAGUAGGUGUUUCAUGUACAUCUUUAAAAGAAAACAACAAAAAAAAUAUAUCUUCCUUUAAAAGGUUCAAGUUUCAUUUUCGUAUGAAAUUCAAAAUCGAAAAUCCAAAAAUAUUUUCUUCGGUAACCAUAGAUUUCAUUUUGUACAGGAAUCUGAAAAAAUUCAAAAGAUUUUCCUCACUCUUUAUUUAGAGUAAGUAUACAUCUUCAAAAGAAAAAUACAAAAAGAUUUUUCUUUAAUAGGUUCAAGUUUCAUUUUCAUAGGAAAUUCAAAAUCAAAAACCCAAAAAGAUUUUUUUUAGUAAUUAUAGAUUUCAUUUUGUAUAAAGAUUUAAACUUGAAAAAUACAAAACGAUUUUUGUCAAUUCUUUUGACAAUUUGUUAUUUUUUUCUCUUUGAAGUUUCAUGAAAAAGAAUGAAAAAAAGAGAGUUUAAUUGGUCAUUUUGGCAAGACUUCACGAACUAUGCAUACCUGAUUCUCCUCUUUCGGGAGUGAGAUACGUAGGCGCCUUUCUUGGGUUCGGUGAUUUAAAAAAAAAAAAGGGGAAAAGAGGUUUUGAAAAAGUGUUGAACUUUAACACAUUUGUUGUUUUUUGUUGAGUCAGUUUAAGGUGGUUGGUUUCUGGCAUUUUGGUUGAUCCUUCACCUCACACCAAAUCUAAAGGGUUAGUUGUGUCCAACAAUAAAUAAGGAAAAUGAGAGUUUGAAGUAAGAGAUUAGGUGGCUAAGACAACAAAUGAAAGAAAUACAUCGAGCUUGGGCCAGUGGGUUGCCUCCUCUUCCAUUUCCCUUUAUUAAUCCUACAAAUACCUCGAGUUUUCCACCAAAAUCUCAAAUUCAAUUUUCUACUAUUGUUGAUGCACCACAACAUGACUCAGAAUUCAUUCCAAGCCAAAAGCAUCUCAAUACUUCCACCACUUUUUCUCUAGCCCCUCAGCAUAAGCCUGCUACAUUCACAACACCACAUGUCGUCUGUGAUCUUAUUGCUCAAUCCUCUACUAGGACUUCCACACUGUCUUGCCCAACGGUAGGGCGUCCCCAUGUAGCUAGUGAACUUAUAUUUAAUACUCUUGGUGAUCACUGUUAUACUCCUGAGCCUGCUUUUAAGUUAACUGCACCACCAAAAUUUCUUAACAAGAAGUCCAGUGUGCCAAAAGAGUCAGAGAAAAUGGUUGGAAAAAUGAAAAGUGUAGAAAAUGCUAUGAAAAAUUGUCUAGGACCUGCGGGUAAAGAAGAUGUUUCAUACAAAGACUGGGGCAUGCCUUCAAGCGCUAACCUUCCUCCAAUAUUUGAGAUGUCAAAAUUUGAGGAGCAAAAUGGGCAUGAGGAAUCCGUGAAACAUAUGAGACAAUAUUGCAAUCAAUUAAGGGAACCUGGAGGGAAGAAGAAUGAGAAAUAUGGCACUUCUAUUGUAGUUGGAGAACGGGCACAUCCAAGAAUACGAUGUCGUCAUUGCCGUCAGUCUCAAGCCCAAGUUCAUACCCAAGCUCUCCAUAAUCACUCCCAAAAUCCAUUAUACCCUGUUUCCUCACCUCCAUAUCUAGUAUAUUGCACAUAACCAUAUGUUCAACUCCCUCUUUACCCACAAUGGUGUGCACCAACUCCUCAAAGUCAUCCUCUGAUUCCCCAAACAUACCAAAGCCCUUCUAGGCCCGAUGUUCGAUCCAAGUUAAACAAUGGAAUAAGGUAGAAAUUGAGGGAUAGUUUCACACCAACUGGAGAGUCGUAUGCCAGUUUAUUUCAGAGAUUGGCACAAAAAGACAUGAUCACUCCUCUCCUUGGGUAUACUCCUAACCCACAUUCAAGAAGUUUUGAUCCUAAUAUACGAUGUGUAUAUCAUUCUGAUGAUCAGGGUUAUAGUAUUAAGAUUGUCAUUCUUUGAAAAGAGAAAUUAAAAAGAUGAUUUAAGAAAAAUUGAUUAUGGUGCAGAACAUUGACAGUGAGAAUAAAUCUAGUUAUACUGAUAUGCAAACCAGUGGCUAAGAUAUCAGGCUGAGGAAUUGAUAAGUCACCCUUCUCCCUACUAGGAAGAGGUCUGGUAGUUUGUUUUGUUUUAUUUUCUAUUAUCCAAAUUAUUUCAGGGUUGUAGUUCGGGAUCUAUCUUGUUUUGUCCAUUUGUUGUUAUGUUCAAACCCUUCUAUCUUUUAUUUUAAUUAAAUGAAGUGUCCCUUUCUCCUUUGUGUUUUAAAUAUGUUUUUGUUUAUUUUCUUUCCACAUUACACUUUAUGUUGACUCUAGUGAUACGACAUGCUAACGAAAUUUUCAGUCAGAUCUUAAAAUCCAGUUUAAGCAUGAACAUUGAAUCAGAGGGUUAAAGUUAGAAAAAGAGAGCAUCUAAGAAAAUAGGUACAGAGCUGAGACAUUUGGGGACAAGUUCAAGCCUUCUUGGAAAAUUAAGGCAAUUAUUUUGAGAAUCACAAGAAUAACUUGGUCAUUAAUUGAAAGACAUGGCUCAAUUAAGUCAAAGAGUGGCUGCGUGAACAGAAAGAAAAUCAGCUCCACGAAAGCAUGAGUCAUUCGAUGUGAGGAAUGUACAACAAAAGUGGACUGAUAUUGUGAACAAAGUGCAAGAGUAGUGACGCACAGACUCAGUAAAAGUUAAUGUUAAAA
rnacentral:lncRNA from 1 species